GUAAGGUCUAAGUGAAAAAAUAAGGUCUAUUUUAAUCUUGCUAGGAGAUGGACAAUAGUUGAAAUUCAAGUCUCUCUCAAGGCAACACAACCGGAGGUCUCCAGAUCGGAGAAAAUUGUCGGAGAGAGGGCGAUGCCGAAAGGAUCAAAGCUAGUAGGAUAAUGGAUUAAACUUAUUUGUUGGGCUUCCUCUGGAUGCUAUUUCCCACGGCAACACACUAACCAUGUAAGAGCAAUCGGGGUCGGGCAGAAAGCUCUAAGGCUUUUGGGGUCGAGAUGCGGGUCUCGAGCUUCACGUGUCUCUCUGCUUCCAUGCUGCCAAACAAGCCAAAAUUGAACUCCCUAAUUGGGUGUCAAAGAUUGGUGAAGCACAACCAAACAUCUUCACUAACAGGUCGGGACAGCGCUACAAAGAGUGUCUGUCGCUCGCGAUGGAUGAUUUGCCUGUCCUCUAGGGGAAGACUCUGGUUCAAGUCAGGUUUACUAGGGAUUCCUAUAGAGCUUCAAAUCUUCAUUCUCAAACCUCAUGGGCUCUACAAUCAUGAUGUUUCAGUGAGCCUAGGACCAGAUGGAGAGCUCCGAUACCCUUCUUAGCCGUCAACGAGAGGUGGUAAGAUUAUAGGAGCAGGAGAAUUCCAGAACAACGACAAAAACAUGCUAAAGCAUAGCACACCUAGGCGACCGGAAACCCCUUUUUCGGGCCUCUAAUCGCCCAUGACGUCCCCAACUACGACUAAUCGCCCAUCGCCAACACCUUCUUCAAGGAGAACGGAGGCUCCUGGGAGACCCCAUAUAGAGUAGCUCUUUUUCUGAUCAAAAAGCAAAGCAGAAUACAACACAGCAAAAGUGAAACCGCGAGGAGGCCCCCGGUGGCUAUGAGAAUUAUGUCUUUCAUUUCGGAGAAUUGGGAGAGAGAAAGAAUG